AUUGAACGCUGGCGGCAGGCCUAACACAUGCAAGUCGAACGAGUGGCGGACGGGUGAGUAAUGUCUGGGAAACUGCCCGAUGGAGGGGGAUCACUACUGGAAACGGUAGCUAAUACCGCAUACCAUCGGAUGUGCCCAGAUGGGAUUAGCUAGUGGGUGGGGUAACGGCUCACCUAGGCGACGAUCCCUAGCUGGUCUGAGAGGAUGACGAGCCACACUGGAACUGGGAAACGGUCAAAACUCCUACGGGAGGCAGCGGUGGGAAAUAUUGCACAAGGGGGGAAAGCCGGAGGAGGCAAGGCCGCUGAUGGGAGAAGGGCCUUCGGGUUGUAAAGUACUUUCAGCGAGGAGGCGUUACUCGAAGAAGAAGCACCGGCUAACUCCGUGCCAGCAGCCGCGGUAAUUC
rnacentral:rRNA from 1 species